rnacentral:rRNA from 1 species
AGAUUGAACGCUGGCGGCAGGCCUAACACAUGCAAGUCGAGCGGUAGAGAGGUGCUUGCAUCUCUUGAGAGCGGCGGACGGGUGAGUAAUGCCUAGGAAUCUGCCUAGUGGUGGGGGAUAACGUUCGGAAACGGACGCUAAUACCGCAUACGUCCUACGGGAGAAAGCGGGGGACCUUCGGGCCUCGCGCCAUUAGAUGAGCCUAGGUCGGAUUAGCUAGUUGGUGAGGUAAUGGCUCACCAAGGCGACGAUCCGUAACUGGUCUGAGAGGAUGAUCAGUCACACUGGAACUGAGACACGGUCCAGACCCCUAGGGAGCAGCAGUGGGAAUAUUGG